rnacentral:rRNA from 1 species
UACAGGGGGGGCAAGCGUUGUUCGGAAUUACUGGGCGUAAAGGGCUUGUAGGUGGCCAACUAAGUCAGACGUGAAAUCCCUCGGCUUAACCGGGGAACUGCGUCUGAUACUGGAUGGCUUGAGUUUGGGAGAGGGAUGCGGAAUUCCAGGUGUAGCGGUGAAAUGCGUAGAUAUCUGGAGGAACACCGGUGGCGAAGGCGGCAUCCUGGACCAAUACUGACACUGAAAAGCGAAAGCCAGGGGAGCAAACGGG